CUUCGGGCUUAGUGGCGCACGGGUGCGUAACGCGUGGGAACCUGCCUUUAGGUUCGGAAUAACAGUUAGAAAUGACUGCUAAUACCGGAUGAUGUCUUCGGACCAAAGAUUUAUCGCCUUUAGAUGGGCCCGCGUUGGAUUAGAUAGUUGGUGGGGUAAUGGCCUACCAAGUUCGACGAUCCAUAGCUGGUCUGAGAGGAUGAUC
rnacentral:rRNA from 1 species